GGUCCUCGUAGCUUAACCCAAAGCAUGGCACUGAAGAUGCCAAGAUGGCCCUUUCCCCGCCCAUGGACA
rnacentral:tRNA from 1 species